GUGGUAGCUGCGGUGGCGGAGCUAGCCAUGGAGCACGUGACGGAGGGUUCCUGGGGGUCGCUCCCGGUGCCGCUGCACCCGCGGGUGCUGGGUGUCCUGCGGGAGCUGGGUUUCCCGCACAUGACGCCGGUGCAGUCUGCAACCAUCCCUCUGUUCAUGAAAAACAAAGAUGUUGCUGCAGAAGCGGUCACAGGUAGUGGCAAAACACUCGCUUUCAUCAUCCCCAUCCUGGAAAUUCUCCUGAGAAGGGAAGAGAAGUUAAAAAAGAGUCAGGUUGGCGCCAUAAUCAUCACACCCACGCGAGAGCUGGCUGUUCAGAUAGAUGAGGUCCUGUCGCAUUUCAUGAAGCCCUUCCCACAGUUCAGCCAGAUUCUCUGGAUCGGAGGCAGGAAUCCUGGAGAGGAUGUUGCGAGGUUUAAGGAACACGGUGGGAACAUCAUUGUGGCAACCCCAGGCCGCCUGGAGGACAUGUUCCGAAGGAAGGCAGAGGGCCUGGAUCUGGCCAGCUGCGUGAGGUCCCUGGAGGUCCUGGUGUUGGAUGAAGCGGACAGGCUUCUGGAUAUGGGGUUCGAGGCGAGCAUAAACACCAUCUUGGAGUUUUUGCCGAAGCAGAGGAGAACGGGCCUCUUCUCGGCCACUCAGACGCAAGAAGUGGAGAACCUGGUGAGAGCAGGCCUCCGGAACCCUGUGCGAAUCUCGGUGAAGGAGAAGGGCGCGGCGGCCAGCAGCACGCAGAAGACCCCCUCCCGCCUGGAGAACUACUACAUGGUAUGUAAGGCAGAUGAGAAAUUUAAUCAGCUGGUACAUUUUCUUCGAAAUCAUAAGCAGGAAAAACACCUGGUCUUCUUCAGCACGUGCGCCUGCGUGGAGUACUGUGGAAAGGCUCUGGAGGCCCUGGUGAAGGGCGUGAACAUAAUGUGCAUUCACGGAAAGAUGAAGUAUAAGCGCAAUAAGAUCUUCACGGAGUUCCGCAAAUUGCAAAGUGGGAUUUUAGUGUGCACGGACGUGAUGGCCCGAGGAAUAGAUAUUCCUGAAGUAAACUGGGUUUUGCAGUACGACCCUCCCAGCAAUGCCAGCGCCUUCGUGCAUCGCUGUGGCCGCACAGCCCGCAUCGGCCAUGGCGGCAGCGCGCUUGUGUUCCUCCUUCCCAUGGAAGAGUCGUACGUCAAUUUCCUUGCACUUAACCAGAAAUGCCCGCUGCAGGAGAUGAAAGUCCAGAAGAACACAGUAGACCUCCUUCCAAAGCUCAAGUCCAUGGCCCUGGCCGACAGAGCUGUGUUUGAAAAGGGCAUGAAAGCUUUUGUGUCGUACGUCCAGGCUUAUGCAAAGCAUGAGUGUAACCUCAUCUUCAGAUUAAAGGAUCUCGAUUUUGCAAGUCUUGCUCGAGGUUUUGCCCUGCUGAGGAUGCCCAAGAUGCCAGAGCUGAGAGGGAAGCAGUUUCCAGAUUUCGUGCCUGUGGACGUCAGUACAGACACCAUUCCAUUUAAAGAUAAAAUCAGAGAAAAGCAGAGGCAGAAGCUAUUGGAGCAACAAAGAAAAGAGAAAACAGAAAAUGAAGGGAGAAGAAAAUUCAUAAAAAAUAAAGCUUGGUCAAAGCAGAAGGCCAAAAAGGAAAAGAAGAAAAAACUGAAUGAAAAACGGAAAAGGAAAGAGGGUUCUGAUAUCAAAGAUGAGGACAUGGAAGAACUUCUUAAUGACACAAGGCUCUUGAAAAAGUUUAAAAAAGGCAAAAUUACUGAAGAAGAAUUCGAGAAGGGGCUGUUGACAAGUGGCAAAAGAUCAGUCAAGACAGCAGAUUUGGGGAUCUCAGAUUUGGAAGAUGACUGCUGAUUCCUGCCGCUCAGGUGAAAUGCACGAGAGCACCGGGAAUGCCAGGAGCUGCCCUGCGCUUGCAGACAGCUUGCGCUUGUGUCUACUGAACAGCAGAACUUCAGCAGACGUCCGGGAAGAACCACCUCUCCCAAAACUGUUGUUGCAGGCGGGGGAGAUGUGAGGGGUUUCACGCUCAUGAAUAUUUUAUUAAAAACAUACCAGCCUUUGAAGUCUAACAGAAGAAUAUGUAAAUUAACUGAGUGUAAAUAACAGAUGUCAAUAUUUAUUUUGAUGGGUUACUCAAAGAGCUCAUUUUUUGGUGGCUAUUUUAUACUUAUUUUUUAACAUAAAGAUACUGACGUGACUUGAUUUUAGGCCUUUUAAAAUUCCUCAGUGUUUUCAGGCACCUGAUCUCCCUGGAUGUCCUUCUCCCUGGACUUCAGUUCUCUCUUUGAUGUACUGCACAGAACACCUGCACAGCCGCUAGUACUGUUUUAUUGGGAUUACCACUCCUGUUUUCUCUUGCGAGGCACGCUGCCAAUCCACGGAGCACGUCACCUCGGCUUUAGGAGCGAAGCUGCACAGGUGAGGCGAAGAAUCCCAGAGUGCCACCGAGGGCAGCCCGUGUCUUCAGAUGAAGAGGGAGCGCUGAUCACAUGUGCUGACCUGACCUCUGCACCUUGCUCUUAAAACGCACUGUGAUACCACGUAAAUGACUCCCACUCUCCCUGACAUCCUAUCGCCCUGUCUGUACACUAUCAAGACCUUAUAAUGAGCUUGCUGGUUUAGCCCAGCUAUCAGUUAAGAGGCAGGACGCUGCCCAGUCCAGUUUUAUGAAUGAGACUCAAACCCUCCAUCUGGAAGCGCUGCUCUAAGCCACCCCUGGGAGUGGGUGAGGAAAAGUAAUUGUGGCAGGGGAAGCCAGGCGCUUACCCAACAGCGGCAUCCAGGACGACAGUGACGGGGACACUGAGGUGGCAGAGGGCUUUGGCCAUUUUCUUACUGGAAAUGACAGUUUGAGAACAUUAGAAAAAAGUCCAGGAAAGUCCCAUAGUGGUGUAUGGUGAGUCACUUAAUUUGGACAAUGAUAAAUCACUUUAGCUGGAAACUCAGUUAAUAUUAAUGGAUUAAGGGGCAGAUCCUGAGACUCUGGACUAAGGAAACAAGAAUUUGGGUCCUUUAGAAGGAAGUAUGUGUUUUAGGAGAACGAUGCUCUUGGGGAUACACAAAGAUACGUAAAUUCAGAAAAAAAGGGUUUUUCUUUUAUUAUGUUCUGGCUAGAUAUGAGAGGUGAAUUAUCUAUUCCUUGAUAAAAAUCUUUCAGUUGCUGUUCCUCUGACUUAAGUACUAAAUAAAACCCCUAGAUCCUGUACUGUGACCUACUUCAAAUUCACGGUGAUUUUUCUUCCAGGGGCAGGAAUGGGCACUGUCAAAGGCAAUGCUGACUGAUUGGCAAAUUGGGGGCCUAUUCUGGCUCCUCUUACAAUGGAUUUUAAUCCUCAGUUUGCUCUUUAAAAGGACUGCUG